GAUGAACGCUAGCGACAGGCCUAAACAUUCAAGUCGAGGGGCAGGGGAGGUAACAAUACUUUCCGGCGACCGGCGCACGGGUGCGUAACACGUAUACAAUCUGCCUUCCACAGGGGGAUAGCCUUUUGUAAGAGAGAUUAAUACCCCAUAAUAAAAGAGAUAGCAUUAUUUUUUGUUGAAAGGUCCGACGGUAAAAAAUGAGUAUGCGGGUGAUUAGCUAGUUGGUGAGGUAACGGCUUACCAAGGCUACGAUCACUAGGGGAUCUGAGAGGACUACCCCCCACACUGGUACUGAGACACGGACCAGACUCCUAUGGGAGGCAGCAGUAAGGAAUAUUGGACAAUGGAGGCAACUCUGAUCCAGCCAUGCCGCGUGAAGGAUGAAGGCCCUAUGGGUCGUAAACUUCUUUUGUACGAGAGAAAACCUAUUUACGUGUAGAUAGUUGAUAGUAUCGUAAGAAUAAGGAUCGGCUAACUUCGUGCCAGCCGCCGCGGUAAUAC
rnacentral:rRNA from 1 species